AGCAGUCGCCGCGGGAAUACGUAGGUCCCGAGCGUUGUCCGGAUUUAUUGGGCGUAAAGGGAGCGCAGGCGGUUUAGUAAGUCUGAAGUUAAAGGCAUUGGCUCAACCAAUGUAUGCUUUGGAAACUGUUAGACUUGAGUGCAGAAGGGGAGAGUGGAAUUCCAUGUGUAGCGGUGAAAUGCGUAGAUAUAUGGAGGAACACCGGUGGCGAAAGCGGCUCUCUGGUCUGUCACUGACGCUGAGGCUCGAAAGCGUGGGUAGCGAACAGGAUUAGAUACCCCGGUAGUCCCUGUCUCUUAUACA
rnacentral:rRNA from 1 species